rnacentral:rRNA from 1 species
AUGCAAGUCGAGCGAUGAUUAAAGAUAGCUUGCUAUUUUUAUGAAGAGCGGCGAACGGGUGAGUAACGCGUGGGAAAUCUGCCGAGUAGCGGGGGACAACGUUUGGAAACGAACGCUAAUACCGCAUAACAAUGAGAAUCGCAUGAUUCUUAUUUAAAAGAAGCAAUUGCUUCACUACUUGAUGAUCCCGCGUUGUAUUAGCUAGUUGGUAGUGUAAAGGACUACCAAGGCGAUGAUACAUAGCCGACCUGAGAGGGUGAUCGGCCACACUGGGACUGAGACACGGCCCAGACUCCUACGGGAGGCAGCAGUAGGGAAUCUUCGGCAAUGGGGGCAACCCUGACCGAGCAACGCCGCGUGAGUGAAGAAGGUUUUCGGAUCGUAAAACUCUGUUGUUAGAGAAGAACGUUAAGUAGAGUGGAAAAUUACUUAAGUGACGGUAUCUAACCAGAAAGGGACGGCUAACUACGUGCCAGCAGCCGCGGUAAUACGUAGGUCCCAAGCGUUGUCCGGAUUUAUUGGGCGUAAAGCGAGCGCAGGUGGUUUCUUAAGUCUGAUGUAAAAGGCAGUGGCUCAACCAUUGUGUGCAUUGGAAACUGGGAGGCUUGAGUGCAGGAGAGGAGAGUGG